CACUCCUGCGGGAGGCAGCAGUGGGGAAUAUUGGACAAUGGGCGCAAGCCUGAUCCAGCCAUGCCGCGUGAGUGAUGAAGGCCCUAGGGUUGUAAAGCUCUUUCACCGGUGAAGAUAAUGACGGUAACCGGAGAAGAAGCCCCGGCUAACUUCGUGCCAGCAGCCGCGGUAAUACGAAGGGGGCUAGCGUUGUUCGGAUUUACUGGGCGUAAAGCGCACGUAGGCGGACUAUUAAGUCAGGGGUGAAAUCCCGGGGCUCAACCCCGGAACUGCCUUUGAUACUGGUAGUCUUGAGUUCGAGAGAGGUGAGUGGAAUUCCGAGCGUAGAGGUGAAAUUCGUAGAUAUUCGGAGGAACACCAGUGGCGAAGGCGGCUCACUGGCUCGAUACUGACGCUGAGGUGCGAAAGCGUGGGGAGCAAACAGGAUUAGAAACCCCGGUAGUCCCA
rnacentral:rRNA from 1 species